ACGGAAGGCAGCAGUGGGGAAUAUUGCACAAUGGGGGAAACCCUGAUGCAGCGACGCCGCGUGAAGGAAGAAGUAUCUCGGUAUGUAAACUUCUAUCAGCAGGGAAGAAAGUGACGGUACCUGACUAAGAGGCCCCGGCUAACUACGUGCCAGCAGCCGCGGUAAUACGUAGGGGGCAAGCGUUAUCCGGAUUUACUGGGUGUAAAGGGAGCGUAGACGGCAAGACAAGUCUGAAGUGAAAGGCAUGGGCUCAACCUGUGGACUGCUUUGGAAACUGCCUUGCUUGAGUGCCGGAGGGGUAAGCGGAAUUCCUAGUGUAGCGGUGAAAUGCGUAGAUAUUAGGAGGAACACCAGUGGCGAAGGCGGCUUACUGGACGGUAACUGACGUUGAGGCUCGAAAGCGUGGGGAGCAAACAGGAUUAGAUACCCUGGUA
rnacentral:rRNA from 1 species